rnacentral:rRNA from 1 species
UACGAAGGGUGCAAGCGUUACUCGGAAUUACUGGGCGUAAAGCGUGCGUAGGUGGUUCGUUAAGUCUGUCGUGAAAGCCCCGGGCUCAACCUGGGAAUGGCGAUGGAUACUGGCGGGCUAGAGUGCGGUAGAGGAGAGUGGAAUUCCCGGUGUAGCAGUGAAAUGCGUAGAGAUGUGGAGGAACACCGAUGGCGAAGGCAGCCUUCUGGGCCAACACUGACGCUCAUGCACGAAAGCGUGGGGAGCAAACAGG